AGUUCAUAUCGACGGCGGUGUUUGGCACCUCGAUGUCGGCUCAUCACAUCCUGGGGCUGAAGUAGGUCCCAAGGGUAUGGCUGUUCGCCAUUUAAAGUGGUACGCGAGCUGGGUUUAGAACGUCGUGGGACAGUUCGGUCCCUAUCUGCCGUGGGCGUUGGAUGAUUGAUUGGGGCUGCUCCUAGUACGAGAGGACCGGAGUGGACGCAUCACUGGUGUUCCAGUUGUCUCGCCAGAGGCAUUG
rnacentral:rRNA from 1 species